UACGUAGGCAGCAAGCGUUGUUCGGAGUUACUGGGCGUAAAGGGUGUGUAGGCGGUUAUUUAAGUUUGGUGGGAAAUCUCCCGGCUCAACCGGGAGGGUGCGCCGAAUACUGAAUGACUUGGAGUGCGGGAGAGGAAAGUGGAAUUCCUGGUGUAGCGGUGAAAUGCGUAGAUAUUGGGAGGAACACCAGUGGCGAAGGCGGCUCACUGGACCGGUACUGACGCUGAGGCGCGAAAGCGUGGGGAGCAAACGGG
rnacentral:rRNA from 1 species